rnacentral:tRNA from 1 species
GGGGUUGUGGCUUAAUGGCAGAGCGCUUGCCUAGCAUGUUCGAGGCACUGGGUUCGAUUCUCAGCAACUCAU